rnacentral:rRNA from 1 species
CAGCCGCCGCGGUAAUACGUAGGGUGCAAGCGUUAAUCGGAAUUACUGGGCGUAAAGCGUGCGUAGGCGGUGAGUUAAGUCUGCUGUGAAAUCCCCGGGCUCAACCUGGGAAUGGCAGUGGAUACUGGCUCGCUAGAGUGUGUCAGAGGAUGGUGGAAUUCCCGGUGUAGCGGUGAAAUGCGCAGAGAUCGGGAGGAACAUCAGUGGCGAAGGCGGCCAUCUGGAACAACACUGACGCUGAGGCACGAAAGCGUGGGGAGCAAACAGGAUUAGAUACCCCCGUAGUCCCUGUCUCUUAUAA